AUUGAACGCUGGCGGCAGGCUUAACACAUGCAAGUCGAGCGAGCGGCGGACGGGUGAGUAAUGUAUGGGAAACUUCCUGAUGGAGGGGGAUAACUACUGGAAACGGUAGCUACUACCGCAUACCAUCGGAUGUGCCCAGAUGGGAUUAGCUCGGAGGUGGGGUAAAGGCUCACCUAGGCGACGAUCCCUAGCUGGUCUGAGAGGAGGACCAGCCACACUUGAACUGAGACACGGUCCAGACUCCUACGUGAGGCAGCAGUGGGGAAUAUUGCACAAUGGGCGCAAGCCUGAUGCAGCCAUGCCGCGUGUAUGAAGAAGGCCUUCGGGUUGUAAAGUACUUUCAGCGAGGAGGCGUUACUCGCAGAAGAAGCACCGGCUAACUCCGUGCCGGCAGCCGCGGUAAUUC
rnacentral:rRNA from 1 species